GUGUUUUUUAAUUGCUUGUAACUCAUGGAACACCUAAUAUAUGAAUUACUCUUUUAAUGUUUAUAAUACACUGAUUUUAUGACUUGUUCAGGGAAUAUAAGAAUGAUUUUAAUGACAAUAUAUUCAGAAAUUAAUUUGAUUUCACAGAAGAAAUACAAUUGAUCAAUAAGUUCAUAAAGAAAGGUUCAACAUCUUUAGGAAUUAAAGGAAUGCAAAUCAAAACAACACUAAGAUUUUCUCUCACUCCUAGUCAAAAGGGCAAUCAUCAAGAAUACAGGCAACAAUAAAUUUUGGCAAAGAUGUGGGGAAAACGUACAAUCAUGCAAUGCCUGUGGGACUGCAAAUUGGUGCAACCACUAUGGAUAGGAAUAUGGAGAUUCUCCAGAAAAUUUGAAUGAAAUCACCAUUUUAUCCAGGUAUUUUACUUCUGGAUUUAAAGCCAAAAAAUUAAAAUCAGCAUACUGCAGUGAUGCAGCCAUGUCAAUGUUUUUAGGAGCUCAGUUCACCAUAGCUAAACGGUGCAACCAACAAAGCUGUCCUGGAUAAUGUGUUAUAUAUAUUCAAUGGAAUUUUACUCUGCUUAAAAGCAACAAAUUUAUGAUAUUUGCCAAUAUAUGGGUGGGCGUGAAUAACAUCAUCCUCAAAUAAGCCCAUCUCAAAAUACAAAGGCCAAAUGUUUUCACUAAUAUAUUGCGGCUAAUUCACAUUAAGGGAGGAAGGCAUCCUUGGAAGAAUUUAGUUACUUUAGAUGAGAUAGAGGGGAGUGAAGAAAGGAGAAAGGAUAUGGGGAUAGAAAGAAUAGUAGAUUGAAGCAGAUAUCAUUACUUUAUACAUAUAUGAUUUCAAGACCAAUGAGAUUCUACAACAUGAACAAUGAGAAGAAUUAGAAAGUAUAUCUCAUGUAUGUUUAAUAUUUCAGAGUACAUAAAAGCAUUCCAAUGUUGAGUAUAAU
rnacentral:lncRNA from 1 species